GACGAACGCUGGCGGCGUGCCUAAUACAUGCAAGUAGAACGCAGUUGCGAACGGGUGAGUAACGCGUAGGUAACUGCCUCAUAGCGGGGGAUAACUAUUGGAAACGAUAGCUAAUACCGCAUACUGUGCGAUGGACCUUCGUUGUAUUAGCUAGUUGGUGAGGUAAAGGCUCACCAAGGCGACGAUACAUAGCCGGCCUGAGCGGGUGAUCGGCCACACUGGGACUGAGACAAGGCCCAGACUCCUACGGGAGGCAGCAGUAGGGAAUCUUUGGCAAUGGGCGGAAGUCUGACCGAGCAACGCCGCGUGAGUGAAGAAGGGUUUCGGAUCGUAAAGCUCUUUUGUUAGAGAAGCGUUAACUAACCAAAAAGGAACGGCUAACUACGUGCCAGCAGCCGCGGUAAUAC
rnacentral:rRNA from 1 species